rnacentral:lncRNA from 1 species
AAAUUUCUUACUUGAAGUUUCCAAUUCAAUAAUGUAUUAGGUUUAGUCUUAGGUUUCAUGUCAAUCAUGAAAUAUCACAUUUGUUGAUUCCUAAAAAAAGUAAGAAAAACAUAUCUACCUCUUUCUUAUAAAGAGAAUGAAUCUUUUUGUUGAAGGAUCAGAAAAAGUGCGGUUUGAAUCUACUAUGGGAAUGAUUUGGAAGAUCCAAAACUACAAAUGUUUUUGCCUUCAUUUCAUAGACUUACAUUGGCUAUAUUAUCUAGAUAUAUUGGUGGACAUGACUCCCAAUGGUCUGUCUUGCUCUUAGAUUUAUGGUUUACCUCUCUUUUUUCUGAUUGUCGCUGCACGAUUUAUAAUCAGCAUCUAUUAGAGGCAUCGGUCUAACCAGAUAGUCUUAGGGUUUUCUUAGGUUUUCAUCUUGUUUAUGCAACUGUUAUUUCCAUGAAGAGUUAAAAUAUUAUGGAAGGAUUCUAAGGUUCCUAAAUGACAAAGGCUAUGGUUAAAGUGCAUUUUGUUCUUUGAUAUAUCAAUGUGUGAGAUCUUUGAAAAAAUAAGUGCCCUAUAAGUCAAUCACAAGGGUGAUGUGAUGGGACUUUUUUGUAUCUUCUUCCAACUCAUGUAAUAAUAUUUGUUCUGAUAUUAAUAAAAUGAAGCCUUAUGAUUCAUCAUUUCAGUUGUAUCUUUCUAUGUUAAAGAUUAUGAUGAACCCCAAAAGUCAGGGCAAUGGUUUUAGGAUACAUGAAUGGAUCAUGUCUGUGAGAUUUAAAAUCUUAAUCUUAAAUAUUCCUGAUCGUGGGAGUAUUGAAUCAGAGAUCAAUGUUCCGGAUAGACCGGCAUAUCCUAUGUAUGCUCGAUGGAGAGGGUGGCUGAUCUCACAAGCCACUUGUGUGAGGAUACUAAUACGAGGAUGUGGGUACUGAUUAAGGAAUGAGUUCACUGAAUUGACUCGCUGAUAGAGAACAUCUUAUAGAGCCUUAUAUGCAUGUCAAAAGAUGAUUCUCUAAGUUGGAGUUGUACAAGUGAUCCUUAGACCUGAGACCAUCAUGGAACCUUGUGCACAUGAACCCAUAUUUUGGUUCAUGCUCAAUCAUGGCAUUAAGUGAUGAACGGGGUGUUCUGGAUAUAGGGUGUGUAUGGAGGUUGUGAGUAGGUCAACAAGGAAUCGAUCACUUCUAGUAAGAGGAGAUGACAUUCCUAGACAUAGGGUGUGUUUGGAGGUUGUGAGUAGGUCAACAAGGAAUCGAUCAUUUCUAGUAAGAAGAGAUGACAUUCUAUGUAUGCUCAUCUUUAGAUAACUUGAGAAGACUUUGGUCAAAGUAAAAUGAAGAUUAGAUAGGGUUUCUAAUGCUUCAUUAGAGUUAUCACUGAUUGAUGGAGAAUCGAUAAGAAUAUGUGUUUGAGUUUGACAUAAAUCUAUAGUUAUAAACAUAUUCGGGAUGCAGGAUGAUAGAAGGAUUGAAUUGCAUGAGAACUUACCAUCGAAAGGUAUAUUUAGUAUCUCCAUCAAAUUCCACAUCUUCUGGAUAGUCAUGAUACGUUGCUAGACGUCAAUCUUGACUUGUAGGUUUAAAUGAAUUAAUGAUUUUAAUUCAUUCUUCAAUGAGAAGGUUUUUUAAUUGCUGAAUUCGGGUCGAUAUAAAUUGGACCUUAAUCGAUUAAGUACGGGUCUAAUCAAAUUUGGUCAAGAUGCAUCUGGACCUAUUGCUGGCUAGAUGUGGAGCCCAAUAGGUCACACAUAUAUGGGAAUUGGUCAAAGAGUUGAUUUGAUGAGGUUGAUUGGACCUCAAAGAGUUGAUUUGAUGAGGUUGAUUGGACCAAUUGAUUCAAUUGUUUAGCCGGUGAGCAUGCUAGCACAUAUGGCUAACCCUAGCUCCUAUUUUUGGAUCGAAUUUGGUUCGAACUUGAUUUAAUUUGUGAACCAAAUUAAUUGGACAUUAAUUUAGGUUAACCUCUGAUGUGGGUAGCCAUUAGCCUCUGAUUCAAAUAUGACUGUAUGGAAAUGAAGGGUUUGACUUAACUAAAAUAUUAUAGUUUGUUGUGCUAUCCACAUAUAGAUGUUUUAGAGACAGGUUAUGUUGAGAGUUGUAAGGGAAUGCAAUUGAAUAGGUUUUUCUAUCUUUGAACUCACAGGCGUUUGUUGUGUUAUCCACGAGACUUCUUUGAGGAAUAAGAAUCUUAACCCCACUAUGAAAUCAGUUUAGGAUUUUCUCGUCUAUCAUUGAGAGGGUUAUGGCAUAUGAAAAAAUAGUGGGAGUAAUAACUAGAAUAAAAGAUCUCAUCUAGUUAUAUAUGUUACCAUGAGUGGUCUGCUUAUAAUAUUGUUUUUAAUUCAUGUAGAUUAAAACUCUGCAUAAUGGCUUCUUCACUCUCAUUGCGUUGCAUCCUUGAUACAAAUAAGCUAAUUGGUCCCAAUUAUGUGGAUUAGUUGAGGAACUUGCGCGUAGUGCUUGUGCAAGAGAAGUUAUCCUAUAUUCUGGAUACAUCUUAUCCUGGUCCGAUCAGUGAAGAUGCUUCAGAGAAGGCCACAUAUAAGAUGUGGCGAAAUGAUAGCAUGACUGUCAAAUGCAUAAUGUUGGCCUUGAUGAGUAAUGAAUUACAGAGGCAAUAUGAGGAUAUAGAUUCAUCAUCCAUAUUGCUUAAUUUAAAAGAGCUAUAUGGAGAACAGAGCCAUACUGCUAGAUAUAACUUAUCUAAGCAGUUGUUUCGGGCUCAGAUGACUGAGGGAACUUCAGAUCAAAACCAUGUGCUGAAACUAAUUGACUUGAUCACUAGAUUAGGUCAAUUAGAUUUUACAAUGGAUGCUAAACUCAGUCAGGAUCUAAUACUCCAGUCUCUCCCAGACUUCUUCCAGUUUGUGGUGAAUUAUCACAUGAACAAACUAGAUACAUCCCUGCCAGAGCUACUGAAUAUGUUGAAAGUAGCUAAAAAUCAUAUCAAAGGAGAGAAAGGUCCACUUCUUUUGGUGGACAAGAAAAGAUAUGGCAGGAAGGGUUCAAAGAAAGGAAAAAAAUUGAACUCUAAAAGAAGCACCUUUAAGAAGAAGAAGGCAAAGAAUGUCCCUGCAGACAUGACCUAUUAUUACUGUGGCAAAAUAAGAUAUUGGAAGAAGAACUGUAAGAGUUUUCUUACAAAGUUUAAGAAAAAUGCAGGUAUAGCACAGAAAGGUAUGUACAUGAUACAUACUGCAUUUUCAUUAAGUUCUUCAGUCAAUAAUUCAUGGGUAUUGGAUACCGCAUGUGGUUCUCAUAUCUGCAAUUCUUUACAGGGACUACAGAGAAUCAAAGGGUUGAAGAAAGAUGAGUUUAAGCUCUUCGAUGCAAGCGGAGAAUCCAUCUUUGCUGAAGCUGUGGGGACUUACCUAUUAAAGUUACCGUCGGGAAGAACUUUAGAAUUAGAAGAAUAUUACUAUAUGCCUAAGAUCAUUAGAAAUGUCAUAUUUGUACCUCUUUUGCUACAUGAUGGAUAUGAAAUAAAAUUUAUGGGCAAUGGUUGCUCCAUAUUUCGUUCUAAUGAAUUCUUUGGCAAUGGGUAUUUUGAUAAUGGUUUUCUAAUUUUAUUACUUAAUGAAAAUAUUUUUCAUAUCGAUGGAAAUAUGAAAAGGAAGAGAGAAGAUAUAAAUAUGUCAUUUUUUUGGCAUUGCUACCUUGGUCAUAUUAGUGAGUCAAGGAUAAAUAAGUUGUAUAAAGAGAAAUUCUUUGAAUCGUAUGAUUAUGAAUCAUAUGAGAUUUGUGAAUCUUGUCUCAUGGGAAAAAUGACUUAGUCUUCAUUUUUUGGACAUGGAGAAAGGGCAAAUGCGUUAUUAGCCUUAGUAUAUUCUGAUGUAUGUGGGCCCAUGACAACUCAAGUCAGAGGUAGAUAUUCCUAUUUCAUUACAUUUACAGAUGAUGUAUCAAGAUAUGGAUAUGUGUAUCUUAUGAAACACAAAUCCGAGGCUUUUGAUACGUUCAAAGAAUAUCAAAAGAUGGUCGAAAAUUAAGCUGCUAGAAGUAUUAAAGUCUUUCGAUAUGAUCGAAUUGGUGAAUACUUAUCCAGUGAAUUUUUUGAUCAUCUUAAAGAAAAAAAUAUUCUCUCUGAAUGGACACCUCCUUAUACACCACAGUUAAAUGGUGUAGCACAAAGGAGGAGGUACGGUCCAUGAUGUGUUAUACUGAUCUUCCAAUAUCUUUUUGGAGAUAUGUCCUAGAAAUAGCCGUAUAUAUUCUUAUUAGAUUGCCUUCAAAGUUUGUUCUUAGCACUCCAUAUAAAUUAUGGAAUGAAAGGAAGCUUAAUCUUAAACAUUUUAAGACUGUUCUGCUUAUGUCAGAAAUAUUUUUGGACAAAAACUAAGUGCGAGAUCAGACAAAUAUAUAUUUGUAGGAUAUCUUAAGAAAAUUAAAGGAUAUUAUUUCUACCAUCUUACUGAACGAAAGGUAAUUGUUAGUAGGCAUGCCAUAUUUUUGGAGAAGGAAUUCUUCCAAGGAGGUAAUGGGAGGAAUAUUGAAUUUGAGGAAGUUCAAGACCUACAAAAUGUUCCAGAAUUAUCUAUUGAAAGUUCUCACCCAGAAAUACCUAGUAAAAUGGUAUAUCCACAAUAUACACCUCUCCGAAGGUCAGAUAGAGUGCAUCAUGCACCUUUAAGAUAUGGUUUCAUCAUAGGGAAUGAUAAUGAGACUAAUAUCAUUCAAGAUGAUGAUUCAUUGACUUAUUCGGAAGUCGUCAUGAGUAAGGACUCUGACAAGUGGCUAGAUGCCAUAAAAUCAGAAAUAGACUCAAUGUACUCCAAUCAAGUGUGGACAUUAAUUGAUGCAUCUGAGGAUGUAACCCCAAUAGGAUGCAAAUGGAUCUUCAAAAAAAAGAUUGGAGCAGAUGGUCAAAUUGAAACCUACAAAGCUAGGUUAGUGGCAAAAGAUUUUCGAUAAAAAUAAAAAAUUGAUUAUGAUGAAACCUUCUCGUCAGUGACUAUGCUGAAGUCUAUACGGAUUUUACUUGUUAUAGCGGUAUACUAUGAUUAUGAAAUCUGAUAAAUGGAUGUCAAGAUCGUCUUCUUUAAUGGUAAUCUUGAGGAAAAGGUCUAUAUGAUUCAAUCAGAAGGUUUUGUCUCCAGAGGGAGGCCAAAUCAUGUAUGUAAGCUUAAAAGAUUCAUUUAUGGAUUCAAGCACGCAUCGGAGAGUUGGAACAUCCGAUUUGAUACGAUAGUUAAGGAGUUUGGCUUCAUAAAAAAUAUGGAUGAACCAUGUGUAUAUAAGAAGGGUAGUGGAAGUGCUAUAGUUUUCUUGGUAUUGGAUAUCGAUGACAUACUACUUAUUGGGAAUGAUAUCCUAAUACUUCAGUCAGUCAAAACUUGGUUAUCAAACAAGUUUUUCAUGAAAAAUUUGGGUGAAGCAUCCUAUAUACUAGGUAUAAAGAUCUAUAGAGAUAUAUCUAAUAGGAUGCUAGGUUUGUCCCAAUCUAGGACAUAGACUUGGUGUUGAAAAGAUUCAACAUGGAGGAAAGUAAAAGAGGUUACUUGCCCAUAAGUCAAAGUUUACAUUUUUCUAAGAAGAUGUCUCCUAAGACACCAGAAGAAAGAGAAAGAAUGAAUUCUAUCUUUUAUACUUGGCAGUGGGAUCUAUUAUGUAUGCCAUGCUAUGUACCAGACCUGAUAUGGCUUAUAUAUUAAGCAUAGCAGGUAUCAGACUGAUCCAGGAGUGGAUCAUUGGGAAGCUGUGAAAAACAUUCUUAAGUAUCUAAGAAGAACUAAAGGUAUUUUUCUAAUAUAUGAAGGAUUAGAGUUGAAACUAGAAGGUUAUACUGAUUCUAAUUUUCAAUUAGAUUCAGAUGAUAGCAAGUUAAUAUCAGGAUAUGUGUUCACCUUAAAUGGUGGAGCAGUGAGUUGGAAAAGUUCAAAACAGUAGACUGUAGCUAACUCAACUACAGAGGCAGAAUACAUUGCUGCUAGUGAGCUGUCAAGAAAGCUGUCUGGAUGAAGAAAUUCAUCUCUGAUUUGGAUGUGGUUCUUGAGAUAGAACGACCAGUGUCACUCUAUUGUGAUAACACUGAUGCAGUCAUCUAAGCUAAAGAACUAAGAUCUCAUCAUAAUAGAUCAAAACACAUCCUCAAAUGUUUUCACUUUAUUCGAGAGAUUGUCGAAAGACAAGAUGUUGUAUUAGAACGAGUUGAAACUAUGAACAAUAUGGCAGACCCAUUCACUAAAAUCUUACCACUAACUGUUUGAUCGCCAUCUUAAUUGUAUGGGUUUGAGAUAUGAAAGUGAUUGAUUUUAGUGCAAGUGGGAGAUUGAAAGAAUAAGUGCCCUAUAAGCCAAUCACAAGGGUGAUGUGAUGGGACUUUUCUGUAUCUUCUUCCAACUCAUGUAAUGACAUUUGUUCUGAUAUUAACAAAAUGAGGCAUAUGAUUCAUCAUUUCAGUUGCAUUUUUUUAUGUUAAAGAUUAUAAUGAACCUCAGAGAUUAGGGCAAUGAUUUUAGGGGACAUGAAUGGGUCAUGCCUAUGAGACCUAAGAUCUUAAAAAUCUUAAUCUUAAACAUUCCUGAUCGUGGGAGCAUUGAGUCGGAAAUCAAUAUUCCGAAUAGACUGGCACAUCCUAUAUAUGCUUGAUGGAGAGAGUGGCUGAUCUCACAAGCCACUUGUGUGGGGAUACUAAUACAAAGAUUUUUGUGGGUGCAUAUUAAGAAAUGAGUUCAUUGAAUUGACUUGUCGACAGAGAACAUCUUAUAGAGUCUUAUAUGCAUGUUAAAAGAUGGUUCUCUAAGUGGGAGUUGUGCAAGUGAUCCUUAGACCUAAGACCACUAUAGAACCUUGUGCACAUGAAUCUAUAUUUUGGUUCAUACUUAAUCAUGGCAUUAAGUUAUGAACGGGGUGUUUUGGAUAUGGAGUGUGUAUGGAGGUUGUGAGUAGAUCAACAUGGGAUCGAUCACUCCUAGUAAGAGGAGAUGAUAUCCUAUGUAUUCUCAUCUCUAGAUAACUCGAGAAGACUUUAGCCAAAGUAGAAUGAAGAUUACAUAGGGUUUCUAAUGCUUCAUUAGAAUUAUCAUUGAUUGAUGGAGAAUCGACAAGAAUAUGUAUUUGAAUUUGAUAUAAAUUCAUACUCAUAAACAUAUUCAGGAUGCAGGAUAAUCGAAGGAUUGAAUUGCACGGGAAUUUGUCAUUGAAUGGUAUAUUUGGUAUUUCCAUCAAAUUUCAGAUCUACUGGGUAGUCAUGAUACGUUGCUAGACAUCAAUCUUGACUUGUGGUUUAAAUAAAUUAAUGAUUUUAAUUCAUUCUUCAAUUAGAAGGUUUUCUAAUUGCUGAAUUCGGAUCGGCAUGAAUUGGAUCUUAAUCGGUUAAGAGCAGGUCUAAUUAAAUUAAGUCAAGAUGCAUCCAGACCUAUUGCUGGCUAGAUGUGGAGCCCAAUGAAUCACACACAUAAGAAAAUUGGUCAAAGAGUUGAUUUGAUAAGGUUGAUUGGAGCAAUUGAUCUAAUUGGUUAGUCGAUGAGUAUGCUAGCACAUGUGGCUAAUCCUAACUUCUACUUUUGGAUCAAAUUCGAUUCGAACCUGAUUUAAUUUGUGAACCAAAUUAAUUGGACAUUAAUUUGAGUUAACCUCUGAUGUGGGCAGCUAUUAGAUGGCGCCACAUGGCCCCUUUUGGUGUUGAUAUGAUAGAGUCCAAAGGGCAAUGGACUCUAUUUCAGGAUUGGCGCACAAUUUGUUGGGCAUAGCUUUAUCUUGGCAUGGAGGGUUCUACAGAGUCCUUUUGGAUUGGGUUUAAGACCUAUGUGGAAGCUAAUCCUGCCCUCUAUCAGCGUAGCACAGGUUUUAAAGGAUGUGGUGGCUUGAUAUGGUGUGGAAGCGGAGACAAAAUCAGCACGGGAGUUUUAUUUUUCACGCGAAGAGGUGCGAUAAGUGUCCUUCUACUUUAAGGCAGAAGGAGGCACUUAUCAAAGGGGUCUCUAGUGUUGAUUU